rnacentral:lncRNA from 1 species
AGAAUCUGAUCCAUUUUCUCAUUGAGCGAAAGGUAGGAAAUAAAUCAGAUUGAUUUUUCGAUCAAAAGUACUAUGUGAAAUCUUCGGUUUUUUCCUUGGGAGGUAAGGUAUCGGGAAGGAAUUGGAAUGUAAUAAUAUCGAUUCAUACAGAUACAGAAGAAAGGGUUCUCUAUUGAUUCAAACGCUAUACCUACGAGAUAGGGAUAGAGAAAUAGGAAAACACCGAAUUGGAUCCCAAAUUGACGGGUUAGUGUGAGCUUAUCCAUGCGGUUAUGCACCCUUCGAAUAGGAAUUCAUUUUCUGAAAGAUCCCGGCUUUCGUGCUUUGGUGGGUCUUCGAGAUCCUUUCGAUGACCUAAGUUGGGUUAAAGAGAUAUCUAUAUGAUCCGAUCGAUUGCGUAAAGCGCGCGGUAGCAACGGAACCGGGUAGAGUAUACAGAAAAGACAGUUCGAUUUCUAUUCUAUUAGUAUUUUCUAUUAGUAUUAGAUUAGUAUUAG